CCUACGGGUGGCUGUAGUGAGGAAUAUUGGGCAAUGCCCGCAAGGGUGACCCAGCAACGCCGCGUGGAGGAUGAAGGCCGUAAGGUUGUAAACUCCUGUUAGAGGAGAAGAAUAGUACCGAUUGGAUCGGUAUUUGACUGUACCCUCAGAGAAAGCCCCGGCUAACUACGUGCCAGCAGCCGCGGUAAUACGUAGGGGGCAAGCGUUGUCCGGAUUUACUGGGUGUAAGGGGGGCGCGCGAGUGAUAGGAGAAAUCCUACAGCGUAACUGUAGAACUGCCUUUGAUACUGUUAUUCUUGAGUUCGGGAGAGAGAGACGGAAUUCCAGGUGUAGUGGUGAAAUACGUAGAUAUCUGGAAGAACACCAGUUGCGAAGGCGGUCUCUUGGUCCGAUACUGACGCUGAGGCGCGAAAGCGUGGGGAGCAAACAGGAUUAGAUACCCCAGUAGUC
rnacentral:rRNA from 1 species